UACGGGGGGGGGCAAGCGUUGUUCGGAAUUACUGGGCGUAAAGGGCGCGUAGGCGGCCAUCUAAGUCAGACGUGAAAUCCCUCGGCUCAACCGAGGAACUGCGUCUGAUACUGGAAGGCUUGAAUCCGGGAGAGGGAUGUGGAAUUCCCGGUGUAGCGGUGAAAUGCGCAGAUAUCGGGAAGAACACCCGUGGCGAAGGCGGUUCUCUGGGACGGUACUGACGCUGAGACGCGAAAGCGUGGGGAGCGAACAGG
rnacentral:rRNA from 1 species